UUGGGUUACAUACGCUUCAGGUUACAGACUUCGCUAUCCCAGAAAUAGUGCUUCAGGUUAAGAACUUUGCUUCAGGAUGAGAACAGAAAUCGUGCUCUGGCAGCGCGGCGGCAGCAGGAGGCCCCAUUAGCUAAAGUGGUGCUUCAGGUUGAGAACAGUUUCAGGUUAAGAAUGGACCUCGGGAACGAAUUAAGUACUUAACCCGAGGUACCACUGUAAUCCAUGUUGUGUUUUGCGAAAAUUAAUCAAAGCAAAUCCAGGCAGGUUUUGACUUGGGGACACUGUUUUUUUAAAAUAAUCUCUGUAAAUUUCCCAUUCCUUUUGGAAUUUUAGGUUAGACUGUCUCCUAAUCGCAUCCGUCAUUUUUGCCAGUUCGAGAUACAGUGGUACCUCGGGUUAAGUACUUAAUUCGUUCCGUAGGUCUGUUCUUCACCUGAAACUGUUCUUAACCUGAAGCACCACUUCAGCUAAUGGGGUCUCCUGCUGCCGCUGCGCUGCCGGAGCACAAUUUCUGUUCUCAUCCUGAAGCAAAGUUCUUAACCCGAGGUACUAUUUCUGGGUUAGCGGAGUCUGUCACCUGAAGCGUCUGUAACCUGAAGCAUAUGUAACCCGAGGUACCACUGUAUUCAAAUAAUUUAUCCUGCCAUUCCUUUUUUCACUUUUCCAAUUUCUAGCUAUUAAUAUUCUUGCUCCCGUUGUAGCAUAUAUAGAGAAUAUGCACCCUUUGUUUACAGGGCAGCAGGUGGGGUGGUCUGUGAUGGGGAGGGUCAUGGCUGUGACGCCAGCCUACGCAAAGCGGCUUGGCAAGAGCCCUUCAAGUGUUGUAUCUUUAAAAAGUAAAAAUAAAAUAAAAAUGCAUUAGCAUUGCUCUGAGAUUAGAUGUGAAGUGCCAUCGAAGGCCUUAGAAAUGAAGGGAAGCUUUUAAGAAGUAUUGAGGGGGCUACAGAAUCACCGGGGAUGGGGGGCAGCAGUGGUACAGCACGUACUUGCAAAGGCAGGGAAUGCCAGCGGUAACGGGCAGCGAUUCCUUUGCUCUUUCGCUCCCCUCCCUUUCUAGCUGCAGAACUACAUAAAAAGAGUGGGGGGAAAGGUGUUUGCUCCAUACUUCGCAGACUUUGCAUCCUGAAACACAAAACAGGAGAAAGAGCUACUCCUUCCCAAAGGCAGCUGUUGCGAGAAGAGGGAUGCACUUGCUUCUGCUAUUCACCUUCCUUAGUCUCUUGUGUCUGCCGGUGCAGGGCUGGGUCCUUAAGAAACCCACCCAGAAUGAGCAGUGGAAGAUGCUGGACCGUUUGCAGAACAGAGAGCUGUUUCUCAGCGCCCUGCAGUCGUACCUCAGCACCAAGGGUAUCCAAGUGGAGAGAACUGCUCCGCCAUUUGUCCUUCUCUUAAAGGAUCACAACGCUGGGACACAUGGGGAGCUGGAAGGGCAAGAGCUGGUGAUCAUGGAGCCCGAGGUGGAUGGGUGGAUGAAUAAAUAGGCAUGAACAGCAGGUGAAAUACUGUCUUUAAACAGCUGGUUAUCCCCUGAACACCUCUGAUUUGCUGCUUUUGAUGUUGCAUUCUUCUUACAUUUGCCAGAGAAUUGCUUUUUGAUGGUUAGAUAAAUUUCUUCAUAUGUAUUGGCACAUCCUCAGUAGAUUUUGCCUAAGCUAAAUUUGAGGAUGUGUGGUGUAGUGAUCAGAGUGGCACAUUAAAAAUGGAGAGACACGGGUUCAAAUUCCAGCUCAAGCUCAGCCAUGAAGCUCACUUGGUCACCUUGGGCCAAUGACUCUUCUUUGUAGCCUUAACCUAUCUCACAGGUUUACUGUGCCAGUAAACAAGAGACAAGGUGGGAACACCAUAUGCUUGAGCUUUUUGCAGGAAAGGCAAGAUAUAAAGGUUAAACAAACUGCCUUCUUUGUCACCAGUACUAAACACCAUGUACCUUUGGCUGAGAGGGGCUUGCCCUUCCCACUUUGUUUGAUCCAUCUAGCUCAGUAUUUUCAACACUGACUUAUAGAAGGCUCUCCAUCAUUUCAGACAGUGGACAUUCUCACUCCUACCAGGAGAUGCCAGGGGAUUGAACCUGGAAACUUCCGUAUGCAAUACUGUUCCACUGAACUAUGGCCCUUCCCCUGAUGGGAGGGGACUGGCACAGUAUGGUCACAUAAGUAGUUUUGCUGGGUUCAAGAAAGUUUGGAAACUAUACCUUGUGAAAAGUUAUGCAGUGGUAGUUUGCACAUUAAUAGUGGCUAUAAAAUGCAUUCUAUCUA